UUCAGUUAACAUCAGAGACAUAACUGAGAUUAGUGCAUGGUUAACAAGAAUAAAUAGCUGUCAGGAAACUGCCAGAUGGUGAAGCUUUCCUUUCGCCUCCCUCCUCCAUCUCCACCUUGCCCACCACCACCCACUUCAGUCUGUCAUUUCUGAGAGUAUGACAAAAACAACAGGUUACCCCAGUUGAACCUCGUGCUUACAAUACUCUCCAUCUCACUUCUACUUCUUGAAAUCAGAGCUCAGCUUAAGUGACAUCAGAAAUGAUGACCAAUAGACUGGGGGUCAGUGUGAGCCUCAACUUCAGGAUCCAUAUUCCUGAACUGACUCUUGGUCUUCAGAGAUGACAUUAAGGAAAAGGAGAGAGCAAGUGAGUGAGAAGAGCUGUUUUUGAAACAAUCAUAUGAACUGUUCCUCUUUGAAGAUAACCCAAGGAAAUGGGAAACUGAGCUUUCGAAGCUUGGUGGGUCUGCAAGAGGAAUGUAUUUUGCAAGGCAAUGGCUCCUGUUCCAAGUUCUGACUGAUCAGCAAAAUGAACAAGGAAGUGGGGAGAGGAGCUGGAAAAGAAUAAGGACACUUCUGCCAUUUUCAUCUCUUUCACCAAAGAUCAUGAUGAUUUUCUUUCCAUAUGUUGAAGGUCAAGAUGAAAGAAAGAACACUCAGCUGUGUUUAACAGAUUAAAUCAAC
ensembl:lncRNA